rnacentral:tRNA from 1 species
GCCCCCGUAGUUCAACAGAUAGAACAGCCCCGUCCUAAGGGGUUGAUGUGGGUGCAAUUCCUGCCGGGGGCACUA